rnacentral:rRNA from 1 species
AAGAAGGCCUUCGGGUUGUAAAGCACUUUUGUCCGGAAAGAAAACUUCGUCCCUAAUAUGGAUGGAGGAUGACGGUACCGUUAAGAAUAAGCACCGGCUAACUACGUGCCAGCAGCCGCGGUAAUACGUAGGGUGCGAGCGUUAAUCGGAAUUACUGGGCGUAAAGCGUGCGCAGGCGGUCUGUUAAGACCGAUGUGAAAUCCCCGGGCUUAACCUGGGAACUGCAUUGGUGACUGGCAGGCUUUGAGUGUGGCAGAGGGGGGUAGAAUUCCACGUGUAGCAGUGAAAUGCGUAGAGAUGUGGAGGAAUACCGAUGGCGAAGGCAGCCCCCUGGGCCAACACUGACGCUCAUGCACGAAAGCGUGGGGAGCAAACAGGAUUAGAUACCCUGGUAGUCCACGCCCUAAACGAUGUCAACUAGUUGUUGGGGAUUCAUUUCUUUAGUAACGUAGCUAACGCGUGAAGUUGACCGCCUGGGGAGUACGGUCGCAAGAUUAAAACUCAAAGGAAUUGACGGGGACCCGCACAAGCGGUGGAUGAUGUGGAUUAAUUCGAUGCAACGCGAAAAACCUUACCUACCCUUGACAUGGUCGGAACCCUGCU